rnacentral:tRNA from 1 species
GGACCUUUAGCUCAGUUGGUUAGAGCAACCGGCUCAUAACCGGGCGGUCCUGGGUUCGAGUCCCCGAAGGUCCA